AAUAGGAGAAUGACAAAUCAUAUUUUUCCUCCAGAUUUUUAGCUUUUUCCUCUUGAAAAAAAUUCAAAUCCAACAAAAUGAUGAAAAUCAGGAGGAAAAAUAUGAUUUGUCAUUCUCCUAUU
rfam:Gossypium arboreum cultivar AKA8401 contig_13832_5, whole genome shotgun sequence.